rnacentral:snoRNA from 1 species
UUGCCCAAUGAUUAUAGCAAGACGCGUUAUUAUGAGGACUAAUGCUGGAACUCUUUCUCCUCCUCCUUCUUCUCCUUCUUUGUCCCUUCCUCUUUCACCCCGCACGCUUUCCUCAGGGUAUCCAGCGUCCUAUGAGCAAGACUGAAAUAUGAGGGCAA